AUUGAACGCUGGCGGUAUGCUUAACACAUGCAAGUCGAACGGUAACGAUGCUAGCUUGCUAGCAGGCGACGAGUGGCGGACGGGUGAGUAACGCGUGGGAAUUUACCUUAUAGUGGGGGACAACUCCGGGAAACCGGGGCUAAUACCGCAUAAUCUCUACGGAGCAAAGCAGGGGAUCUUCGGACCUUGCGCUAUUAGAUGAGCCCGCGUUAGAUUAGCUUGUUGGUAGGGUAAUGGCCUACCAAGGCAACGAUCUAUAGCUGGUCUGAGAGGACGAUCAGCCACACUGGGACUGAGACACGGCCCAGACUCCUACGGGAGGCAGCAGUGGGGAAUAUUGGACAAUGGGCGCAAGCCUGAUCCAGCAAUACCGCGUGUGUGAAGAAGGCCUGCGGGUUGUAAAGCACUUUCAAUUGUGAAGAAAAACUGAAAGCGAAUAACUUUCGGUCUUGACGUUAACUUUAGAAGAAGCACCGGCUAACUCCG
rnacentral:rRNA from 1 species